UGGUGUGCAAGGGAGAAGUGUGGCUGGAGGGCAUGGAAGGGAGAGCAGGUUCGAUCGCGCCACGUUUUCGGGCAGCGAAGGAGGGUUCUGUAAGGAGAACGCCGGCAUUCUAAACAUCCUUACUAGGAAGCCCCAUGGAACCCAGUGCGGGGAUCAGUUCCGAAGGGACAUGUUUAGGACCACCGGAUUGUUGCAUCUUCAGUGGCCACUCCGUUCGAGACUCUUGCUAAAUGAUCGCGAUGUAGAACGCCGGGCAGUUUUUCAUGCUUAGGAAAGCCAUGCUCCUUUCGCGUCCCCGCCCAGUUUCCCCUUCUGGGAUGACAUUCCUCAUCUACAGACUCCCCAAGGGGCAGCUCUUCACGGAACUGUUGGCAAGAAUAGCCCGGUCAGGCAUCCAUCUCAAAGCCGGUAAUGACUUUGGGGUGUGGAACAUCACUUCUGAGCCUCCAGAUGCUGCUUAUCUAAGGAACACUGCACCUUUCUCUAGAGAGGAAAGGAAGUUUAAUUAAACUGCCCUAUCAAGAAGAACUGUAAUGAUGAAGCAUGAUUAAAGUGAUGUGGCAGAAACGGCAAACAGAACAGGAAGAAAAUAUACUGAAACAGAAGUCAAAGAGUGGAACAAAGAGAAAGAAAAUGGAAG